UACGUAGGGUGCGAGCGUUAAUCGGAAUUACUGGGCGUAAAGCGUGCGCAGGCGGUUUUGUAAGUCAGAUGUGAAAUCCCCGGGCUCAACCUGGGAACUGCGUUUGAAACUACAAGGCUAGAGUGUAGCAGAGGGGGGUGGAAUUCCACGUGUAGCAGUGAAAUGCGUAGAUAUGCGGAGGAACACCGAUGGCGAAGGCAAUCCCCUGGGCCUGCACUGACGCUCAUGCACGAAAGCGUGGGGAGCAAACAGG
rnacentral:rRNA from 1 species